CCCUUAGAUGUUCUGGGCCGCACGCGCGCUACACUGAUGCAUUCAACGAGUUUCUUCCUGGUCCGAGAGGAAUGGGUAACCUUUUGAAAGUGCAUCGUGAUAGGGAUAGACUAUUGCAAUUAUUGGUCUUCAACGAGGAAUUCCUAGUAGACGUAGUUCAUCAGACUGCAUCGAUUACGUCCAUGCCCUUUGUACACACCGCCCGUCGCUCCUACCGAUUGAAUGCUCAGGUGAGCCAUUCGGACUUUCAUCAUGCUGGUUUCCAGUUUUGAUGAAGGAAAGUCUUGCGAACCUUAUCAUUUAGAGGAAGGAGAAGUCGUAACA
rnacentral:rRNA from 1 species